ensembl:lncRNA
CCUGACUGAAGCGGUGGAGAAACACCAGAAGGCUGAGGAGACCAUCACUCAGCUGCAGAUGGAGAAGGCUGACCUGACCAACCAGGUGGAGACACAGCGAGGAAAAAUGCAGGACGUGGAGAAGCUGCUGUCUGAGACUCACAGGAUGUUUGAUGAUCUAAUGAAUGAGUAUCAGAUGAAGAACGAUGAGAUGAAAAAGCGUCUGAUAGACGCAGAGGAGAUACUGAAGUUCUCCAUGACUGAGGCUGAGGAGUCCAUCACUCAGCUGCAGAUGGAGAAGGCUGACCUGACCAACCAGGUGGAGACACUGCAAGAGACAGUGCAGUACUUGGGGAACCUCCUCAAUGAGACUCACAGGUGCUCUGAUGAUCUAAUGAAUGAGUAUCAGAUGAAGAACGAUGAGACGGAGAAGCGUCUGAUAGACGCAGAGGAGAUACUGAAGGUCUCCCUGACUGAAGCAGUGGAGAAACACCACAAGGCUGAGGAGACCAUCACUCAGCUGCAGAUGGAGAAGGCUGACCUGACCAACCAGGUGGAGACACUGCAAGAGACAGUGCAGGACAUGGAGAACCUGCUGUCUGAGACUCACAGGAUGUUUGAUGAUCUAAUGAAUGCCUCCCUGACUGAAGCGGUGGAGAAACACCAGAAGGCUGAGGAGUCCAUCACUCAGCUGCAGAUGGAGAAGGCUGACCUGACCAACCAGGUGGAGACACUGCAAGAGACAGUGCAGUACUUGGGGAACCUCCUCAAUGAGACUCACGGGUGCUCUGAUGAUCUAAUGAAUGAGUGUGAGUGUGAGCGAGAGGCUUACAGCAACCUCAAGUCCGAGUACGAGGAGAUGAAGGAGACUCUCAUCAACAAGGAGGAGAUACUGAAGGCCUCCCUGACUGAAGUGGAGGAGAAACACCAGAAGGCUGAGGAGUCCAUCACUCUGCUGCAGGUGGAGAAGGCUGACCUGACCACCCAGGUGGAGAGACUGCGAGAGACAGUGCAGUACUUGGGGAACCUGUUCACUGAGGCUCAGAUGGAGUGUGAUGAGCUAAGAGAUAUUUUUUCACAGAAACAUGGCGUAACUUUUAGAUCCCAGGAGGCAAGUGUUUGAGACAGAAGACAGUGAGAACAGAAAUGGAUCCUCAGCAGAAUCAACAUGACGGGGGAAUGAGGGGUGAAAAUAAGAACGUAACAUAACUUACAGUUUCUUACGAUCGCUAUGACAAUUUUUAAAAUACUUUUAACAAUUUUCAUAAACUCUUAACGCACCGACACACCCACAACACACAACUGGCAAAACGGUUCAUUACAUGCUCGAGAUCACACUGUAAACUAAACUCCAACGCUAAUUCUCAAAAUACAAUAAUACACUAACACAUUACACUAUGUCUACCAAAACACUGCAAACACGUCUGAAAAUCAAAUCAUCUUCUUAUCUGCCUGGCUUUCUGCGUUUGGCCACAUGUUCUCAUCCACGUCACACCUGAUCCAGGAGGGACAUUUGGUGUCCCUGUGUUUAGCUAGAGUCCGAGAAAUGGGUGUUACGCCGAUUGCUGCAACGUUCCCAAAGACGAGGUUGUCCUCUACAACUCUGUCCUUCUGUUUCAUUUCAUUGUCAGCAGUCACCAUGUGGACAAUAGCAAGUUCCUGUUCUUCAUUUAGUAGGUAGACGUUGAAUCCUUAGAGAGACAGAAUGCCGGUUUAGAACAUGAUGUUACCUGUUCUGACGUACAGCGUGAAAGCAUUGGUCAAUUUGGCAGUAAAAAUGCAUUGUUUUGGUCUCGAUUGAGCUCGUGUGUAAAAGAAGCAUUUUAAAUUUGUGUGAACUAUAUGCAUUUUGUGUCAAAGCAACAAGAAAUGUGUUAAUUGUACAGCCUACACAGACGGGUGUUGUGCUAAUUGUGGGUGGGUGUAGGGGCGGCUGUGGAUCAGGUGGUAGAGCGGGGUGUACACUAAUCGUAGGGUUGGCGGUUCGAUUUCCGGCCCAAAUGACACCACAUGCCGAAGUGUCCUUGGGCAAGACACUGAACCCCAAGUGCCUUGCAUAGCAGCUCUGCUACCAUUGUGUGUGUGUGUGUGUGUGUGUGAGAGAGAGGGUGAAUGAGACACAGUAUAAAGCGCUUUGGAUAAAAGCGCUAUAUAAGUGCAGACCAUUUACCGUUUAACUGUGUUAAGAGUUUAGGAAAAUUGUUAAAAGCAUUGAACAAAUGGUCAUAAUGGUAAAGACCUGGAAUCAGAUCAGUACGGUUCAUACUGUUGAAUUUAUCACUUUUUUUCACCCUUUAUCGCAUUUUUCACCCUUCGUACGUCAUAAGCUACAAGAAAAAAUACAACCAAGAAAUCAACACAAAGACUUUGACAAUCCCACAGAAAGAAAUAUGUGUAUUUAAGAAAAAUGUUUGUUUUUAGAUGUGAAUAAUAAAUGAAUGAA